GGGGAUUUAGCUCAGUGGUAGAGCGCUUGCCUAGCAAGCACAAGGCCCUAGGUUCGGUCCCCAGCUCCG
rfam:Rattus norvegicus chromosome 2, whole genome shotgun sequence.